CAGCGUCACGAGUGGCAACCAUAUUUAUUGGGCCUAAAGCGUCCGUAGCCGGUUUGAUAAGUCUUUUGUGAAAUCGUUGAGCUCAACUUAACGUUGUGCAAGAGAUACUGUCAGACUUGGAAUUGGGAAGAGUUAGAGGUAUUCUGGGGGGAGCGGUAAAAUGCUAUAAUCCCUGGAGGACCACCAGUGGCGAAAGCGUCUAACUAGAACAACUUCGACGGUGAGGGACGAAAGCCAGGGGAGCAAAACGGAUUAGAUACCCGAGUAGUCC
rnacentral:rRNA from 1 species